rnacentral:rRNA from 1 species
CAGUAGCCGCGGUAAUGCGUAGGUGGCAAGCGUUGUCCGGAAUUAUUGGGCGUAAAGCGGGCGCAGGCGGUUAGAUAAGUCUGAAGUUAAAGGCUGUGGCUUAACCAUAGUACGCUUUGGAAACUGUUUAACUUGAGUGCAAGAGGGGAGAGUGGAAUUCCAUGUGUAGCGGUGAAAUGCGUAGAUAUAUGGAGGAACACCGGUGGCGAAAGCGGCUCUCUGGCUUGUAACUGACGCUGAGGCUCGAAAGCGUGGGGAGCAAACAGGAUUAGAGACCCCGGUAGUCCCUGUCUCUUAUACA